CCAAUACUCCCUCCGUCCGGAAUUACUUGUCACAAAAAUGAUAGAAAUGGAUGUAUCUAUAACUAAAAUACAUCUAGAUACAUUCAUUCCUCGGACAAGUAUUUUCGGACGGAGGAAGUACUAU
rnacentral:pre_miRNA from 1 species